AGUAACCCUAGAGCGGUACGCCGUGCGUCGGUAUCCGAUGUCGAGGGACUCUGACCAAGCGGCGGUAUUUGACGUGUUGGGCGUGAGAAUGUGUCAACAUG